CUUACCAGGUCAAGACAUGGGCGUGAUUGACAGGCUAAUGACUUUUCUCGAUUCCAUGGAUGGUGGUGCAUGGUCGCACUUAGUUGGUGCAGUGAUUUGUCAGGUUUAUUCCGGUAACGAACGAGACCUCGGCCUUGUAAAUAGCUAUGCUGCUUACAGGGACAUUGGCGGCUACGCCAAGGAAGCUCGAGGCAAUUGCAGAUCUGGAAUGCCCUUAGAUGUCCUGGGUUGCACGCGUGCUACAAUGACGCCACGAACGAGCUUGCGUGAUGAAAGUUACGCAUAAUCAGCAGUCGGCGUCUUAAGGGAUAGUCUCUUGUAACUGUGGGACUCCAACUAGGAAUGUCUCGUAAGCACAAGUCAACAUCUUGUGUUGAUUACGUCCCUGCUCUUUGUACACACCGCCCGUCGCUCCUACCGAUCGAGUGUUUAGGUGAAUUUGAUGGACGUAAGGAAGUCAAAUAAACCUGAGCACUUAGAGGAAGGAGAAGUCGACAUUC
rnacentral:rRNA from 1 species